CACGGUCCAAACUCCUACGGGAGGCAGCAGUGGGGAAUAUUGCACAAUGGGCGAAAGCCUGAUGCAGCAACGCCGCGUGAGCGAUGAAGGCCUUCGGGUCGUAAAGCUCUGUCCUCAAGGAAGAUAAUGACGGUACUUGAGGAGGAAGCCCCGGCUAACUACGUGCCAGCAGCCGCGGUAAUACGUAGGGGGCUAGCGUUAUCCGGAAUUACUGGGCGUAAAGGGUGCGUAGGUGGUUUCUUAAGUCAGUGGUGAAAGGCUACGGCUCAACCGUAGUAAGCCUUUGAAACUGGGAAACUUGAGUGCAGGAGAGGAGAGUGGAAUUCCUAGUGUAGCGGUGAAAUGCGUAGAUAUUAGGAGGAACACCAGUUGCGAAGGCGGCUCUCUGGACUGUAACUGACACUGAGGCACGAAAGCGUGGGGAGCAAACAGGAUUAGAUACCCUGGUAGUCCACGCCGUAAACGAUGAGUACUAGCUGUCGGAGGUUACCCCCU
rnacentral:rRNA from 1 species